rnacentral:rRNA from 1 species
UACGGAGGAUGCGAGCGUUAUCCGGAUUUAUUGGGUUCAAAGGGUGCGUAGGCGGUCCGUUAAGUCAGCGGUAAAAUUGCGGGGCUCAACCCCGUCGAGCCGUUGAAACUGGUGGUCUUGAGUGGAUGAGAAGUACGCGGAAUGCGUGGUGUAGCGGUGAAAUGCAUAGAUAUCACGCAGAACUCCGAUUGCGAAGGCAGCGUACCGGCAUCCAACUGACGCUGAGGCACGAAAGCGUGGGGAUCAAACAGG